rnacentral:lncRNA from 1 species
CGCGGCCAAAGGACUACUCCAGGCACCAGUGAGGAAGGGCUUCUAAUGUGAGGAAAAACACGGAAUGACAAGUGUGGGAAAGAGCAAGCACUAAAUUACUGUCAGAAAAAUAAACGGAGUAGCACAGUGCUGCUCGGUGAUUUACGGGGGCAAUUAGUCACCACCCCACGGCGCUGCUGAGGACAGCACGGCAGCAGACAAGUCAGGCCCAUGAGGAAGAAGAGGCUUUGCACUGCUCUCCAGACAACUUUUCAAACAACAAGAGAGGAUAUUUGAGCACAUUAGGUUUUGUGUCUUCAUUCUGGGUACCUACUCUUCAU